CCAAAGGAAAAGCCAGUACCUUCUUAGCAAAUCCAGAUUGUUCAUGACAUAAUUCCUUUUGACGGGGCACCAUUCUGCGGCUUCCCUGCCCAUCGUUCCUCGCGGCCGCCCUCUCGACGCCGCUAGGCCCGAGACUGUGACCUAGACAGGUGCUGCGUUUCGGUUGGGCGACGCCCGACGGGAGAAUGCCCUAUAUAUACAAGUCCGUCCUCUUCUCUAUUCCAGAUUUUUAUUUCAUGCCUCGGUCUCAGCGCUUAUCUCCGCCAAACGUCUUUUACGGUUAGCUGAUAGGCUCCUAGAGGAUUUCAAGUUGAAUGAUGAUCUUAUAGGUGCGGUCAGUUUUCCAGUUGAGCACUGAAUGUGAGUCAACAAAAUGUGCUGAGUGGAUUUUGUUAAAGGUUUUGCUCUAUGCUGUGUGGUUGGGUGCUAGUGCAAGUAAAGAUGCAGUUACCCUAAUUCCGUAGCUCCUGAUGUGUUCUCAGAGUUUUGUUGCUGUGGUUGGCAAAGCUGGAGAUUGACAGGUACAUGUGGGUCCUCAUUAAUACUUAAACCGUUAGUAAGGAUGGCAUUCCUGCUUAUUCCAUUCUUGCCCCUUGAUCCAUAAACCUGAAGUGCAAAGAAAACAUCUUUGCUGAGGGUCACAGGGGGGAGUGUUCACCUUACUUCUUCAUCCUGGUAUAGGAGAGUGGAAGAAGGAAUUUGAUUUUCUAGAAGGAUAAUUCAGGUUUCCAUUUUUUGCUUAUUGUGAUACCUUCUUAUAUAAUUCCAGGUUUUCCUCACGAAUUAGGUUUACCUUGUUAUAUAGUUCCAGGUUUUCUUGAUGUAUGAGACUUCCCUGCAAGGAAGAAAAUAAAUUAGAAAUUAAUGGCUUUUCCUUUUUAGUAAAAUGUGGAAAAGCAGUAGCUGCAGAUUUGCUUGGUUGACCUUUUGGUUUAGUUCAUGUAUCUCAUCAAGUAAAAUUUGGUCCUACAAAAUGCAGUUAUGUCAGUGCUCAUAAUGUUUACUAUAUGAGUCUUUUUGUGAGAAAUUGGAGUUUCUGACCUUUCUUGUACGGACACCACGAAGACUCAUUUCCAGCUGGUUCUCCAAGCUUUGUAAAUCUUUCACACUCAGACCAAUGGUCUGUGUAAGGUCACACCUCUGGCAGAGCUUCAUGGCUAUUUUACUUCACACUUGCAUUGAACAAAUCAGCAUAUAUUGAUCGGGUUUGCAUUUGCUUUGAAGAUAAGAGCUCUCUCACCAUUGUCUUUAUAUAAUGUAUUGUUGAAAUUUUCAUGUCUGAUUUCAAGUAUUUCAUAGGCAUGACUUGAGGUUGAUGCUCAAAUAUGAUAGUGGAAAUUGGUUGAAACCUAUUGGUCCUCUGUUACUCCAAAUCUCUUUUUAAAAGAAAUAUUCUAAGAACUCAAUUACUCAAAAUCCUGCAAUUGUUCCUGUAGUCAGAGGUUAGUCCUAACUCCUAAGUAAUUCAAAUUGUUUACACUUCUGAGAGCUAGGAAAACUUUACUAAUUCUAGAUUUCUAGGAAAUUGUUGUACUAUAUACCUAUAGGGUUUUGGGUGAGUGCAAAUGGGGAGACUUUGAAAUUAUUAUUGAUGUUGAAGGAAAUUUUAUGUAUAAUUCUAGACGACAGCAGGUUGGAAAACAAAUUAGCAAAGUUCUAGGAAAAUGAAAACAUCAGGUUUGAAAAGGAAAGGUCUUUCCAGGAAUUAGAGUCCAUCUCCUUGAUCCCUGAAAAUUACUUCUCUGCUCAGCCAUAUGUUCUGUAUGGCCCUGAACUCAACCUGGGGAGAAACCUUGAAUAUACAUGUAAUGAUUUAUGGAUAUAUGGGAGGCUAUGAUACAAAUGCUGUUUCAGUUUAGCAGCAAUUUUGGUCUCAUAUUACUUCUGAACAUUUCAGAUGUUCAAUGUUUCUUCUAUGCUGCCUCUUGUAAUCGUGAUCUGUUAAAGAACGAACAAUUUUUUUAAAAGGAAAUUUUAAGUUCUUCCACUGCAUCUUGACUUCAUAGUGACCUCCCUAUAUACCGUCAACAUCUGCUUAAUGAUUGGGUGACAAUGCAGAAAGGUUAGAAGAACUAGAUAUCUUGUGAGUUAUCUUCCCUCGUGUCUUUCAGCCCUUCAUGUUUAACUCCCUGCAUCUCAGAGUAAGGAUUUUGUACUCUGGGUCCUGUAACUUAAAUUUAUAUGCCGGAUACAAAUUUUCGUUUUCAAGCAUUCAUUUUUUGAUAAAUCCUUCAGAGCUGAACCACUGCCCUCAAUGCAGCUCCAACAUGGUAAUCAGGAGGGUCUUAUUGCAUGCCAUCAAGGGAUAUUUAGAAACUAUAAAAGAGAAGGUUAGAUUAUAUUUGAGGUCCCUAAAAUUUUGUCAGUGUUCUAGUUGUAGCAAUUAGAAUCAUUGGACUUGAUAGUUUGUGUGCAUCUCAUAUUCAUUAGCGGGCAUCUUAGUUUAGCUAGUAGCUUAAAGUUCAUAAUAUCCUUCUUGCUUUCAGUGGUUUUGUAUCCAAAUAUUGUCCGGGUUGUAUACUGGUAGUGUUGUUGCUAGGCUCCUAUGUAGUCACUUGCAUAUAUUUUCAUUUUGCAAUGAGGAGAAUAUAUGCUUGUAUAUGGACAGGAAUAAAAUGAGUAGAAGAUUACAAAACCUCUUAAGGAGAACUACAGUGUGCUAUUAUCCAAUCUAUACACUAUAGCAUGGCUUUAAAUUAUGCCAAACAACUCUCAAUAGAAACGUAACCUCCUGGCCUUGUACCCAGGUGGGUAUGAAUUGGUCUUUGUUGUGGGAUUUGAGGAUUUAACAUAAAUGUGAAUUUCAUUUGCAACAGUCCUUGAGUUUACUAGUAGGGCAUUUGAGACUUUGAGUAUCUUGUACGGUGAAUUUUGAUCUCUUUCUAUCUGCCCUAUUUGAAGGCAUUCUUUCAACAGUGACCUGUUUAGGUUCCAGGCCCAAACCAGAUGUUGAGGUCCGGUUUGUGAACCUUCUUUUCUUCUUUGAAGAUUUUCUUUAAUGGCUAUUAACCAGAACUGACCCUGAACUGGAACCAUAUAAGUCCGGAUUCCGAACCAAGACCAAACAUUAAGGUUCAGUUUUGGUUCACACAGUAACAGUUCAGGCUGAACCAGAACAUCCGGAUAUUUUGUUAAGGUUUAAUUUCCUAUGCUUUAUUACCUUUAAAUUCUACUUUUCUGCUCAAUUAGUUAGAUAAAUGUAGGAAGAAGUUGAUAUAACAACUUUCCCCUUAGAGGGAAUAAGUUUUUAUGUGGAUGCUAUUCAGGUGGAAUUACAUUAAAUACCAGCUUAA